rnacentral:rRNA from 1 species
AUUGAACGCUGGCGGCAGGCUUAACACAUGCAAGUCGAGCGGGGGAAGGUAGCUUGCUACUGGACCUAGCGGCGGACGGGUGAGUAAUGCUUAGGAAUCUGCCUAUUAGUGGGGGACAACAUCUCGAAAGGGAUGCUAAUACCGCAUACGUCCUACGGGAGAAAGCAGGGGAUCUUCGGACCUUGCGCUAAUAGAUGAGCCUAAGUCGGAUUAGCUAGUUGGUGGGGUAAAGGCCUACCAAGGCGACGAUCUGUAGCGGGUCUGAGAGGAUGAUCCGCCACACUGGGACUGAAACAAGGCCCAGACUCCUACGGGAGGCAGCAGUGGGGAAUAUUGGACAAUGGGGGGAACCCUAAUCCAGCCAUGCCGCGUGUGUGAAGAAGGCCUUAUGGUUGUAAAGCACUUUAAGCGAGGAGGAGGCUACUUUAGUUAAUACCUAGAGAUAGUGGACGUUACUCGCAGAAUAAGCACCGGCUAACUCUGUGCCAGCCGCCGCGGUAA